rnacentral:rRNA from 1 species
UACGGAGGGAGCUAGCGUUGUUCGGAUUUACUGGGCGUAAAGGGCGCGUAGGCGGUUUAGUAAGUUGGAGGUUAAAUCCCAAGGCUCAACCUUGGUAAUGCUUCCAAAACUACUAGGCUAGAGUUUGAUAGAGGAUGAUGGAAUUCCUAGUGUAGAGGUGAAAUUCAUAGAUAUUAGGAGGAACACCAGAGGCGAAAGCGAUCAUCUGGGUCAAAACUGACGCUGAGGCGCGAAAGCGUGGGGAGCAAACAGG